rnacentral:rRNA from 1 species
CCUACGGGAGGCAGCAGUCGAGAAUCAUUCACAAUGGGGGAAACCCUGAUGGUGCGACGCCGCGUGGGGGAAUGAAGGCCUUCGGAUUGUAAACCCCUGUCAUGUGGGAGCAAAUUAAAAAGAUAGUACCACAAGAGGAAGAGACGGCUAACUCUGUGCCAGCAGCCGCGGUAAUACAGAGGUCUCAAGCGUUGUUCGGAAUCACUGGGCGUAAAGCGUGCGUAGGCUGUUUCGUAAGUCGUGUGUGAAAGGUGCGGGCUCAACCCGCGGACGGCACAUGAUCCUGCGAGACUAGAGUAAUGGAGGGGGAACCGGAAUUCUCGGUGUAGGAGUGAAAUGCGUAGAUAUCGAGAGGAACACUCGUGGCGAAGGCGGGUUCCUGGACAUUAACUGACGCUGAGGCACGAAGGCCAGGGGAGCGAAAGGGAUUAGAUACCCCGGUAGUC